rnacentral:rRNA from 1 species
AUUGAACGCUGGCGGCAGGCCUAACACAUGCAAGUCGAGCGGUAACACAGGGAGCUUGCUCCCGGGUGACGAGCGGCGGACGGGUGAGUAAUGUCUGGGAAACUGCCUGAUGGAGGGGGAUAACUACUGGAAACGGUAGCUAAUACCGCAUAAUGUCGCAAGACCAAAGAGGGGGACCUUCGGGCCUCUUGCCAUCAGAUGUGCCCAGAUGGGAUUAGCUAGUAGGUGGGGUAAUGGCUCACCUAGGCGACGAUCCCUAGCUGGUCUGAGAGGAUGACCCGCCACACUGGAACUGAGACACGGUCCAGACUCCUACGGGAGGCAGCAGUGGGGAAUAUUGCACAAUGGGCGCAAGCCUGAUGCAGCCAUGCCGCGUGUAUGAAGAAGGCCUUCGGGUUUAAAGUACUUUCAGCGGGGAGGAAGGUGUUGAGGUUAAUAACCUCAGCAAUUGACGUUACCCGCAGAAGAAGCACCGGCUAACUCCGUGCCAGCCGCCGCCGUAA